UUUAAGUGCAACCAUGAGUUUCCGUGCCCAACUUUGAUCUUUUGUCUUAUUUAAUUUUUUUUAUGAUUAUAAUUUUACUAUUAUUAGAUGAUAAAACAUGAAUAAUACUUUAUGCGUGACUUUUGUUUUAAUUUUUUUAAAAACUUUUUUAAAUAAGACGAACAAUUAAAGUUGGACACGAAAAAACAUGACUGCACUUAAA
rfam:Oryza rufipogon genomic scaffold, chr04